UUAUAAGAGACAGCAGUAGCCGCGGUAAUACAGAGGGUGCGAGCGUUAAUCGGAUUUACUGGGCGUAAAGCGUGCGUAGGCGGCUUCUUAAGUCGGAUGUGAAAUCCCUGAGCUUAACUUAGGAAUUGCAUUCGAUACUGGGAAGCUAGAGUAUGGGAGAGGAUGGUAGAAUUCCAGGUGUAGCGGUGAAAUGCGUAGAGAUCUGGAGGAAUACCGAUGGCGAAGGCAGCCAUCUGGCCUAAUACUGACGCUGAGGUACGAAAGCAUGGGGAGCAAACAGGAUUAGAGACCCGCGUAGUCCCUGUCUCUUAUAC
rnacentral:rRNA from 1 species